rnacentral:rRNA from 1 species
UCCCAGACUCCUACGGGAGGCAGCAGUGGGGAAUAUUGCACAAUGGGGGGAACCCUGAUGCAGCGACGCCGCGUGGGUGAAGAAGUCAUUCGUGACGUAAAGCCCUAUCAGCAGGGAAGAAAAUGACGGUACCUGACUAAGAAGCCCCGGCUAACUACGUGCCAGCAGCCGCGGUAAUACGUAGGUGGCAAGCGUUGUCCGGAUUUACUGGGUGUAAAGGGCGUGCAGCCGGGCCGACAAGUCAGAUGUGAAAUCCGCGGGCUUAACCCGCGAACUGCAUUUGAAACUAUUGGUCUUGAGUACCGGAGAGGUCAUCGGAAUUCCUUGUGUAGCGGUGAAAUGCGUAGAUAUAAGGAAGAACACCAGUGGCGAAGGCGGAUGACUGGACGGCAACUGACGGUGAGGCGCGAAAGCGUGGGGAGCAAACAGGAUUAGAUACCCUCGUAA